rnacentral:tRNA from 1 species
GCUUACAAAGCUAAAAAUAGCGUUGGUCUUGUAAACCAAAGAUUGUGGGCCACCCCUCUGUAAGCU